rnacentral:rRNA from 1 species
UCCCACCCGUGUCUAUCGUACCUUGUUGCUUCGGCGGGCCCGCCGUUUCGACGGCCGCCGGGGAGGCCUUGCGCCCCCGGGCCCGCGCCCGCCGAAGACCCCAACAUGAACGCUGUUCUGAAAGUAUGCAGUCUGAGUUGAUUAUCGUAAUCAGUUAAAACUUUCAACAACGGAUCUCUUGGUUCCGGCAUCGAUGAAGAACGCAGCGAAAUGCGAUAAGUAAUGUGAAUUGCAGAAUUCAGUGAAUCAUCGAGUCUUUGAACGCACAUUGCGCCCCCUGGUAUUCCGGGGGGCAUGCCUGUCCGAGCGUCAUUGCUGCCCUCAAGCACGGCUUGUGUGUUGGGCCCCCGUCCCCCUCUCCCGGGGGACGGGCCCGAAAGGCAGCGGCGGCACCGCGUCCGGUCCUCGAGCGUAUGGGGCUUUGUCACCUGCUCUGUAGGCCCGGCCGGCGCCAGCCGACACCCAACUUUAUUUUUCUAAGGUUGACCUCGGAUCAGGUAGGGAUACCCGCUGAACUUAAGCAUAUCA